AGUGAACGCUGGCGGUAGGCCUAACACAUGCAAGUCGAACGGCAGCACAGUAAGAGCUUGCUCUUACGGGUGGCGAGUGGCGGACGGGUGAGGAAUACAUCGGAAUCUACUUUUUCGUGGGGGAUAACGUAGGGAAACUUACGCUAAUACCGCAUACGACCUACGGGUGAAAGCAGGGGAUCUUCGGACCUUGCGCGAUUGAAUGAGCCGAUGUCGGAUUAGCUAGUUGGCGGGGUAAAGGCCCACCAAGGCGACGAUCCGUAGCUGGUCUGAGAGGAUGAUCAGCCACACUGGAACUGAGACACGGUCCAGACUCCUACGGGAGGCAGCAGUGGGGAAUAUUGGACAAGGGGCGCAAGCCUGAUCCAGCCAUACCGCGUGGGUGAAGAAGGCCUUCGGGUUGUAAAGCCCUUUUGUUGGGAGAGAAAAGCAGCAGGUUAAUACCCCGCUGUUCUGACGGUACCCAAAGAAUAAGCACCGGCUAACUUCGUG
rnacentral:rRNA from 1 species